GGGGAAUAUUGCACAAUGGGGGAAACCCUGAUGCAGCGACGCCGCGUGGAGGAAGAAGGUCUUCGGAUUGUAAACUCCUGUUGUUGAGGAAGAUAAUGACGGUACUCAACAAGGAAGUGACGGCUAACUACGUGCCAGCAGCCGCGGUAAAACGUAGGUCACAAGCGUUGUCCGGAAUUACUGGGUGUAAAGGGAGCGCAGGCGGGAAGACAAGUUGGAAGUGAAAUCUAUGGGCUCAACCCAUAAACUGCUUUCAAAACUGUUUUUCUUGAGUAGUGCAGAGGUAGGCGGAAUUCCCGGUGUAGCGGUGGAAUGCGUAGAUAUCGGGAGGAACACCAGUGGCGAAGGCGGCCUACUGGGCACCAACUGACGCUGAGGCUCGAAAGUGUGGGUAGCAAACAGGAUUAGAUACCCUGGUAGUCCACACCGUAAACGAUGAUUACUAGGCGUUGGAGGAUUGACCCCUUCAGUGCCGCAGUUAACACAAUAAGUAAUCCACCUGGGGAGUACGACCGCAAGGUUGAAACUCAAAGGAAUUGACGGGGGCCCGCACAAGCAGUGGAGUAUGUGGUUUAAUUCGACGCAACGCGAAGAACCUUACCAAGUCUUGACAUCCCUUGACGAACAUAGAAAUAUGUUUUCUCUUCGGAGCAAGGAGACAGGUGGUGCAUGGUUGUCGUCAGCUCGUGUCGUGAGAUGUUGGGUUAAGUCCCGCAACGAGCGCAACCCUUACUGUCAGUUACUACGCAAGAGGACUCUGGCCAGACUGCCGUUGACAAAACGGAGGAAGGUGGGGAUGACGUCAAAUCAUCAUGCCCUUUAUGACUUGGGCUACACACGUACUACAAUGGCGUUAAACAAAGAGAAGCAAGACCGCGAGGUGGAGCAAAACUCAGAAACAACGUCCCAGUUCGGACUGCAGGCUGCAACUCGCCUGCACGAAGUCGGAAUUGCUAGUAAUCGCAGAUCAGCAUGCUGCGGUGAAUACGUUCCCG
rnacentral:rRNA from 1 species